rnacentral:lncRNA from 1 species
UAUAUAGACAUGUAUAGGCCAUGUCUACUAUACUAUUAUGGGUAUUGGAGCCAUCGUACUCAUAAGUUGUUUUUAAUGAUGGAGCUUCCGAAUCUACGAUCCAUUUCGUUAAAUAUGAUCUAGAGUAUUUGAAACUUCUAGCCCCCGUUUGGUUCCGGGUUAAGAAAAAAUAGCUAUUCCAGGGAUAGGGUUAAGUUCAGGGUUAAAAUGGUGUUAAAGUUUUUUUGUGUUUGGUUAGAGGUUGGAGUUAGUCUAGAAUAGUGAAAAAAAGUGUUUGGUUGGAGUAGGUGGGAUAAGAAGAUAAUGAUUGAUAAAGAAGAAAAAGGUAAGAGCUCGGGAUGCGUGCGGGGUUAAAGUUGGGAGGGGGAGUGGGGUUAAUGAUUGAUAAAGAAGAAAAAGAUGAGAGCUCGGGAUGCGUGCGGGGUUAAAGUUGGGAGGGGGAGUGGGGUUAAUGAUUGAUAAAGAAGAAAAGGUGAGGGCUCGGGAUGCGUGCGGGGUUAAAGUUGGGAGGGAGAGUGGGGUUAGUAAACCCCACUAACCCGGUUUGGGGUGGGGUUAGUAAACCCCACCCCAAAAGAGUGGUGUUUGGGUAUAAAUUGGGGGUUAAGGGGUGGAAUAACAACCCCUUAACCCCCAACCAAACGGUGGCCUAGAAAAUAAAUUUCGUAAAUUUUCGAAAUCAUAAUAAAAUCCAUCAAGUGGGCAUAAAAUGAACGGUCAAAAUCGAACGACGUCCUAAAAAAGGAUGAUCGGAUCCUUUAAUUCAAGAUCGGAGUUAUUGAUCUUUAUCUAUAGAGUGAAUAGACUUUUCUAUCAAAAAUUCAACAAAUUUCGAUUCUUUUACACCGUUAAACUAGCAAGUAUCCCAUACCGGCCGUUAAAAAUUGUCAAAUUUGUGACCUCUUGAUCGUAAGGUAAAUGAUGUCGAAAAAUUAUAAAAUUUUAUUUCUAGAAGUUUUAAAUACUGUAAAUAACGUUUAACAGGUAUGGAUCGUCGAUUCGGAAGCUCUAUCAUCGAAAACAACUUAUGAGUACGAGGGCGAUCGUAUUCAUAAUAGUAUAGUAGCCGGACCAUACAGAUAUAAUGAAUAGAUUAAAAUGUUUGGAAACCAACCUCAACUUUGAAUAAUUUGGAAUUAAACAAUCUAUCAAAUCCUUAAAAAAAAAAAAAAA